rnacentral:rRNA from 1 species
CGUAGGUGGCAAGCGUUAUCCGGAUUUAUUGGGCGUAAAGCGAGCGCAGGCGGUUGCUUAGGUCUGAUGUGAAAGCCUUCGGCUUAACCGAAGAAGUGCAUCGGAAACCGGACGACUUGAGUGCAGAAGAGGACAGUGGAACUCCAUGUGUAGCGGUGGAAUGCGUAGAUAUAUGGAAGAACACCAGUGGCGAAGGCGGCUGUCUGGUCUGCAACUGACGCUGAGGCUCGAAAGCAUGGUAGCGAACAGGAUU